rnacentral:snRNA from 14 species
UUACCUCUGGCGCGGGGGAUAUACCGUGAUCAAAGAAGGCGGUGCCUGCCAGGACGAGGCCUGUACAUUGGCACUCCGUAUGGGCUGACUCUCAGCGACUACCGUAACGCCCAAAUCGGGGGUGGCUCGAGCGCAUAAUUUUUUGGUAGUGGGGGACAAGCGUUCGCGCGCUGUCGGA